GCACCCCAAAACCAGAGCGACUGAGCGAAUUUGGCGCGGCUAGCGGAACUGUGAAGAGGCUGCUGCGCUUCUCUGUCCGCCACACUUCAGGUCACAGCGGCUCCGGAGCCGCGGCACAACCGCCUCCUUCCCCACCCAGCUCCCGGGCCUUGUCACAGACCCCGGCAGUUCGCUCCGCCCCACCGCGCCUCACAACAUCUCCCGCUGCAAAUUGUCCAAUCGGGAGACACGAUGGGAGAACGCGAGCCAAUCAGAGACUGUGCUCCUGCUGGUGCUGUUGAGGGUCAUUUUUAUCCUCACUGCGGCGGGGGACUGCCAGCUAUUGUGUCUGAUCAGCUGCCACCGCCGUCCAGAGGGAAAAAAAAGAGGAACAAAACCUAGAAGCUAUGGAGUCCGCUUACCUUUUCCUUCUUUCUUGCUACUCUCCCCUGUAGACUUAGAGUCUUCCCCCGCCCGCCCACCACCUGAGGUCCUGUUUCUUUGUGGGGGACAGGGGAGCGGGGACAUAAAGCAUGCCCUGCAGCUGGGGCACCUGCGCCUUCGUUUUUACAUCUUCCUUAAAGUGGAUGGUGCCAAACCAAAUCGACAGCUAAAUCCUUCGCUUCAAUUCGAGGAAAGACGUUGA
rnacentral:lncRNA from 1 species